GACGAACGCUGGCGGCGUGCUUAACACAUGCAAGUCGAACGGAAGGGCCUGCUUUCCCUUGUGGAUUGCGGGUACUCGAGUGGCGAACGGGUGAGUAACACGUGAGUGAUCUGCCCCCAACUUGGGUAUAAGCCUGGGAAACUGGGUCUAAUUCCCGAUAGGACUGCAGGGUGGUGCCUGUGGUGGAAAACGAUUUUCUAGUGGUUGGGGAUGAGCUCGCGGCCUAUCAGCUUGUUGGUGGGGUAAUGGCCUACCAAGGCGGCGACGGGUAGCCGGCCUGGGAGGGUGGACGGCCACAUUGGGACUGAGAUACGGCCCAGACUCCUACGGGAGGCAGCAGUGGGGAAUAAUGCACAAUGGGCGGAAGCCUGAUGCAGCGACGCCGCGUGGGGGAUGACGGCCUUCGGGUUGUAAACUCCUUUCGACCGCGAGGAAGCCACCUGGUUGGAAGGGUGGUGACGGUAGUGGUAGAAGAAGCACCGGCUAACUACGUG
rnacentral:rRNA from 1 species